rnacentral:rRNA from 1 species
UACUCCCGCCGGCGACCGGCGCACGGGUGAGUAACACGUAUGAAACCUGCCCGUAGCAGGGGGAUAAGCGGAAGAAAUUCCGUCUAAUACCGCGUAACAACCCGAGGAGGCAUCUCCUCGGGUUUAAAGGAAGCGAUUCCGGCUACGGAUGGUCAUGCGUCGCAUUAGCUAGUUGGCGGGGUAACGGCCCACCAAGGCGACGAUGCGUAGGGGUUCUGGGAGGAAGGUCCCCCACACUGGUACUGAGACACGGACCAGACUCCUACGGGAGGCAGCAG